CUCCCCUUGAAAAGAUCAAUAAUGGCGGAUAAACAAUACGGCAUGCAGUCUGGUCAUCAACAGACAGUUUUGACACCCGUGUUACCCGUAUUUCUACCAAUCACCUCUGUAACCUUUGCUGUGUUCAUCAAACAGAUGAUGGACCUCUCUACUUCCUUUUACAACAGGUGCCCCUACAGAUUCACAAAGUUCCAGUGUUGAGUUUCCAUGACCCCUAUUCAUCCAUGACAGGAAAAGGAAAAGAGUUGACAGGACUUCCCGCACUGUCCCUGGUAGCAGUUUAUGAGGGAGCCAACUGCAGUAAACAUAGCACGCUUCAUCAAAG